GCCAGACCAUAAAUUAACUUACACUAACCACGCCCGGGCAUUACGAGCCUAGCUUAAAACCCAAAGGACUUGUCGGUGUCCCACCCUACUAGAGGAGCCUGUUUUAUAAUCGAUACCCCCCGUUAUACCUAACCAUUUUUACCCGCCUGUAUACCGCCGUCGCAAGCCUACCAUAUGAAUGAAUAAUAAUAGGCUUAAUAGCUUAACCCCUACUACGUCAGGUCAAGGUGCAGCUUAUAAAAUGGUAAAAAUGGGCUACAAUUUCUAAAUUAGAACAAACGAACUGCCACAUGAAAUAAGGUCACAAAGGUGGAUUUAAUAGUAAAUAGGAAGCAGAGAGCCCUAUUAAACCCGGCCCUGGGACGCGU
rnacentral:rRNA from 1 species